AACAUAAGUUAAGAGUUGCACUUUUAAACAGGGUCACACUCUGCGUCGUCUUAAUGAACGAUUGAUUUAAUUAAUCAAUCUAGGCCUAAUUGCUCCCGUUAAUUGCUUUCCUGAGAUGACUACUGAUGGUCUGUUCUUGUUCUUGAUCGUUGUUAGGGGUGGAAAGGUCACAUGUAGUCAGUGGUGCUAAACAGUUGUCCUGUAAGAUGAAUUAGCAGCGUUUCUUUGGAGUGUACUUGAUGGACUAGCCAUGGGACAGGAGUUAUUGUAUUAUCGGGUCUACAGAGCUGGAGACCACCUAAGACCUUUUACCAGCCGUAAAUUGCACUUGGGACGGAGGGUAAGUGGAAAUCAGAGCUGGGCUGCAGGGCCUUUUUCCAGCUGGCAAUCAUUGGGAACUGUGUUCUCCGUUUUAUAGCAAGCUGUGAUUGUAAUUUGAGCUGAUAUUGCGUUAACUGCACUUUGGUGUGAGUGUGGAGAGAUGCCAGGCGCCAUGUGUGGAUGUGGGGUAAAACUGUCAGCAGUGCUCGGGAGUUACACAUUAGCCUCAUCCUUCUGGGCUUACCAACAGCAGGGUCUCAACUUCAACCCACCUGUAGAGGGUGCACUCAUUAGGGGAGGAAAUAAGGUAUCGUGACAACUUAAAAUGAGCCAUGCCAUCCACACUUUAGUCCUUUGCCAUCUUUAUUUUCAUCACAAACCGUUUAGAAAUAAAGACCCUCUUGCAGAUUUGGGUUCUUGACUGUGAUGCCAUAUCGCUUACUGUGAAUUAACCACAAAUCUGCCUCGCAAAAGCCUCCCUACUUCUUAUUUUCUCUCUUUUUUUAAAAAUCAAGUACAUUUAUUAGUGGGGAGAAAAUUUCAGUGUAUAUUUGGAAUAUAUUCUCAUGUUUAUGAACAUUUCAUCGUUUGCAUCCAGGCUGCACCUUAUCUCACUAAGCUGGUUCAAAACCGAGUCAGACAAUGUUGUAAUUCUGUCUUUAUCUUUGCUGGUUCAUAUAUAGUUUAUUAUCAUUUCUACUUUUACAGUGUAUAUGUGACGUUUCGAUAUUAACGUAGAUCCUGGGUACUCAUAUUUCUCAAAGAAUGCAGGGCUCUUCACGAAUACAUCAUCUCUAAUGACAGAAACCCAUAUCUUAAAUUGAUACUAUCAUGGAUUUUUUUACCGCAGGUAUCUCGAUGCUUCAAGAACUUCAAUUUAUAAAUUUCACCUCACUGUGAGUCAUUUGUUAUGGACUAUCAUUUCAUUUGGAGUCAUUUCCGUCGAGAGGCAGCCGUCGCCCGCCUUUCCGUUCCGAGGAAGUCAUUGUCCAUCUUUGACAGCGUAGCACUUUAAUCCUAAGGAGAAAAAAAAAAGUAUAAAAAUCCAUCAAUGUUGGCUUCUUUGUUGUGAUUUACCCAAGCCAAUUUAAAAAAAGAAGUCAACAUAAACAUUUAACAAUGCUUGUGAAAAGACAUUCACAAGAAAACCUGAAUCAGCUAUCAGUUUUCUGCCACUCAAUAGCAGUUUAGCAGCCAUUUGUUUCUCAUUCUCUUGAGCAUGUGAAAGCGACUCCUUUUUUUCUUUCUUACAGCGACGUACCUCCAAUAUGUCAAGGCAAUUACGAGAGAGGACAGAUUGUAAUAAGGUUCUUUUGUUCCACUGAAAGUCUUUCUCUUCUUUUUUUUCCUGUAGAUAUUUCCUGUAUUGUUUGAUAUGUAUUGCCACACUUAUUGAAUAUUUGAUGUUCCAUAAUGAGCGUACAUACUGUGUGGGUAUACUUGAAAAUGACAGUUUUAGGUGUGCAGAGGUUGAAUGAUAGCAAAACUUUAUCAUCGGUCCAUGUGGUCAUACUUUUUAUGUGGAGAUUUACUAGUGGAAUCGUUGCCUUGAAAAAGACUACAGCGUUAUGUAUUGCUCUUUUGUUUUUGUUUUUUUGUUGUUUUGCCUCGCAGCUGCUCCGAGACUAAAUUCGGGCACGGAGCUGUUGAGAUCCGAGGAAAAUUAAAAAUUAAAAGUUUCUACAGUUGUGAGAUCAAACCAGUGAAUCCCAUCAGGGAAAAUCCGACUUUUAAAUACAAUCAUGUACAGUAUUUAUAGGCUAAAAGGCUACAAAAGCGAAGCAGUAGCCUCGCAGAGGCUGUGUUUUUCUCUUCUGGGAGACUGUGGUGAGGCUGGUGCCUAUGCUUUCAGUGGCUGUGUAAUAGCGGUGCUUAGCUUUGAGCUGGUCUCUGCCUGUGGAAAACGGCAAGUCCGGUGCAAAGCACAUGAGGGAUCAACAUAUCAUCUGAGUUGUUCUCUGCGUAUUGUCCAAGAGAUGUUUUGUUGUGUCAAAUGAGUUUCGUCCAGUCUGAAUGUGUGUUGGGGGUUUGUGUCGUUCUGUUGAAAAUAAGCCAAAGUGGAAUCUCUGCAAUGGACAGUUUUUGAUAUAAGUCUUAUAAGUAUGAACUUGCACAAAAACAGCCCCUGCUAAGGUUGUCCACAGUUAUCUAAGCUAAACCAACAGGAAAGAAACAGCCGGAAUAUAUUUUUACUGAUUUUACAAGGUGUUGCUGUGCUGUUGACAUCUUCGUUGUCUGAUUUGUUGUUUUCUGUUCUGUAUCAAAAGAGAAUUAAGCUUUAGAUAAUGGAUAUGACUAUAUUGUUCAGAUUGAAAAAUCUUAAUUUUUUUUUUUUGUGUGUGUGUAUUUCUUUAUGAUGCCAAAAAAGUAGUGUGCGGACGUUCUUGGGGGAGAAAAAAAGUUAGUAUUGCUUCGGUCUGCUUCACUAACCUACAUUCUGAGGUUGUCAAUCAAAUGCUGAGGACCUGCCCACAUGCCACAGCAAUUCCAAAAACUGCCCAGUAUUCCGCUAUAACAAGAACGGCAACUUCCUGUUGCUUUUUCACUUUUUUCAUGAUCACAGUUACAAUAAAGAACCCUACUCAGAGUCAGUCUUAUUUAACAAACUCUUCUCAGCUCUACUAGUGAAAGAAAUGUAUUUUUGAUACAAUACAAGUUCAGGUUAUUCUUAGUCUGAAAACAAGCAUGUAGAGUCACAGUCCUACCUCAUUGCUGCUCAUCGUCUGUGUUCCUAAGACAGUCUCAUCACCCUCGUACCUCAUUCAGAUAUAUAUGUAUAGAUAUAUAUAUAUAUAUAUAUAUAUAUAUCAGUCUGUAUGGUAUAGAUUCAUUUCAGAUAUUGUAUUUUACUCCCUUAACAACUGUGUUAAUGUUUCUGUGGCAGUAGAUAGUGUUUCCUUGCAGUAAUUACAUUUUUAUCCCAUUGAUGGUGCUACAGCAGGCAUGGGUUGUCUAAUAUGUGUUAUUUACCUCAGAUGGUGCUAAUUUUUCUACUUUUCUGGAGGUCGUUCCGCUUUGCAUGAAUAAAACUGGCUAAUGUUAAUUUCCUAGCAGCAGGAAUUUGGGGAUAAAAAUAAAGCAUCAGAUAAAAUCUUAGGAAUUGCAUCCGGCAUGUCGUAAAAAUUUAGUUUUUCAUAUUUCGAAUAAGACAUACCUCUCUAACAAAUUACCUCACAUACUCUAAAUUAACAGACUAUUAAAACUGUGCACGCAGGAUCUAUCCAUGGCCAUAUAACCUUGUCUUUAUUGUACAAUACAAACCUAAUGCUGGAGUAAGAAACCUGAUAAUCCAAACCAUCUACCUAAAUAUUACUGGGCAGUUGACUCUCACAACGUGGUCCUCGGCAGUUAAUGUGAAAGUCAAUCCCACUGUAGAAAUACAGUGCAACUAACAUGGUAGUCUUACUUUUGGUGGUGGUGGUGGUGAUGAUAUUUUGCAGUAUGUUAACUGUAGAGGGUUUUCUUAACUUACCAAAGUUGUUCCCUCUCAAAGAAACUCUUUGUUGUUGUCGUUAAGAACUGUUUGGGAACAAAGUCUCCAAUUUGCGUUUCAGUCCAGCGAAAACUGUCUCAGAAAUAUGGGUGCGUUGAGCGACUGCCGCUCAGCGGAACGUAAAUUAGUCCAUCCACAAAAAUACAAUCAGUCGUGGGUAUCGGUGACAUUUUUUAUUCAUACAGACAGUUAAUUCAUUUAGAGCAUGUAACAUGACAACUGAAGGCAAACUGUGAUUUUGUUUGCGAACGCUUUCCUGUCGAGACGUUUUUGAUAGUUCUGCGUCAUGUGAAGCAAAUAUGUCAUGGGCUUCAUGAACUGACCUCAAGACCAGACAGUGAGUUCAGAAAUUGAUCGUAUUGCAUUUAAAUCGGAACAUUUUGCAUUUUCAUUUAACUUUUUGUGUCUUUAU